rnacentral:rRNA from 1 species
CGGGAAACCGGAGCUAAUACCGGAUAAUAUAUUGAACCGCAUGGUUCAAUAGUGAAAGACGGUUUUGCUGUCACUUAUAGAUGGAUCCGCGCCGCAUUAGCUAGUUGGUAAGGUAACGGCUUACCAAGGCAGCGAUGCGUAGCCGACCUGAGGAGGGUGAUCGGCCACACUGGAACUGAGACACGGUCCAGACUCCUCGGGAGGCAGCAGUC